ACCUGACCUUCACGUGGGGCGCGGGACCUUGCGGGGUCCCAGCCGCAGGCGCCCCUGUUGUUUCCUUCGGGCGGUCAGGUGCGCGGGAGGAAGGCAGCGGCCUGCCGCGCAGAGCCCUGCGCGCCCGCGAGGUGGCGCCAUAGCCGCAGCAGCGCCCGCCGGCCCGGGCCGCUCCAGAUAAGAGUGUGCGGAAAGCGCGGCGGGGCUGAGACGCGACCAGGACGCGGGGAGGACGGACCAGCAGGACAGACCGACCGGGGGCCCGGCGGGCGGAGGGCAGCGCAGCCACGUCCCCCCUGGAUCCGCCGUCAGCCGGGCCCGGGGCUUUCGACAUGCCCCCCAGGUGGGUCCUCGAGCCGGGGA
rnacentral:lncRNA from 1 species